CCGGAUAUCACAUAAUAGGCGCAAUAUCCAUUUGAUAGUCAAACGACAACCAAUUUCAAAUCCGAGCAUAUCGUCAUGCUCGGGACAACAUGAGGAGUGUUUUAAAACAUAAUGGGCCGACACCCAGUAAGCCACUAGCUGUCACUCGCUGCAGGCACUGCGUGGGUGUCUUGAGAAAAUUCUGGUGACCAUAAAACUCUAAAUUGCCG
rnacentral:lncRNA from 1 species